CCAAGACUGUCCCUUAUGGUGCGGGGGUGGGGGUGGGGCGCACUGGGGACUGGCCCUCUUCUGGGUUCACGGAUGCACCUCGGAGGAUCCCAGGCGGUUGGUCUCGGGGUGGUCUGCCGACCCGAGACCGGGUGCGAAGGUUCCCUUCUCGCCGGUUUCCCACUCAAUUUCUGUUCCUCCCAGAGCUAACGCCAGGGGGUGAGCCGCCUGCGCCGGGGGAGAGCACCUCCCCGCGGCCCGGCCGGGGUGGGCGCGCUGGGGCGCCAGGUGCGCGGGCUCCUUGCACCACUCUCGGCUCUGGACCGCGCCAGCCAGAGGCCCCGGCCCAACCCAGGUCCCUGCGGGCGACAGGGCGGGGUCCCUGCAGCUCGUGCUGGGCGCCACGGCUGGGCGUGCCCCUCUGCCCGGGUGCAGGACGGCCUCGAGGCCGCGCACCUCCACAGGGCGGGCGAGCCCUGGCCUCCCCCUCCCUGGCACGGAGCUGCUGCCCUGAGCAAUCUGCUGCUAGAGACGCCAUUUCGGUCCCCACCCUUGUCUCGGCCGAGGAAGAGCCAAUCACGACGCUCGUGUGUAGCUGUGCCAGCCGCAGGGAAGGGAUUCAAGAGUGACUGUGUGACCCAUCAAGUCCCUCAGCUCAAAGAACCUGCAAUCCUGUGAUUCUAGGAUAUAAGAAGACAGCUGUCUGCAAACCGGGAGGAGAGCCCUCACCAGACACUGGAUCUGCUGGUGCCUUGACUUCCCAGCCUCCAGAACCGUGAGAAACAAAUGUUUGUAGUGUAAGCCCCCCAGUGGAUGGCACUCUGUUACAGCAGCCUGAACUAAGACAGUUGGUGCCAGCAAAACCCUGAGACGUACAGUGUAUGACAUUUCAGGGAGCUGGGAAUAGUCCAAUAAAGCUGAAAUUUAGUGGGGGACAGGGGAGAGAGAGAGAGUGAGGGUAGAAGUCUCAGAGACACAGGAGGACCUAAGAUGGGUAAGGAGGACACAAUUGAUUCUCUUCUGUUUUUUAAAUAUUUUUUUUGUCAUUAAUUAAAGUGAUAGGUGUUCAUUUUAAGAAGUUUGGAAAACCCAGAAU